CGUUACUGAGGUGUCUGUGUAUCCACAUUGUUCUUAGAUAGCCUGUGUGUGUCUUAUGCGGCCGGUUUUUUAAAUGUAUUUUCUAAACAUUGCUUUCAGGUGAUGAUGUUUUCUGUAGUUUUGUUCCCGGAGGAGGAUGACUGUGUGGCAGCAGUUGCAUGGCAGGAUGGAGCAAGCACAGUACUCCUAGGCAACAGAGAGGUACUCCACGCCACCAUGUAGAGGAUGGCUACAUAGGCAAGAAGGCAGAGGUAGGGGGAAGUGUUAGCUCUGCACAUGAAGAACAUUUGGAGAAGAUCAAGUGGCUGACUGAAGAGAAGGUCGAGCUGAGGGCACAGAUAGCUCUACAAUCAGCUUCUGAUAAACGUCUGACUGAAAAUAAUGUCAAGCUGAGGGCACAGCUGGCUCUACAAUCAGGAGCCAUAAGGAAGAAUCUUUCCAACCAGGAUGUCCCAGGUACCAGAAAGGGGCAGCUGACCAUGAAGGGUGGGAGAUGUCGCGGCGGAACAAGGGACCUGCCGUGAAUAUGAAUGACAUCUCCAG
ensembl:lncRNA